rnacentral:rRNA from 1 species
AGAACGAACGCUGGCGGCAGGCCUCAAACAUGCAAGUCUAGGGGGUGCAGCAAUGCAUCACCGGCGGACGGGUGCGUAACACGUGGGAAUAUACCUUUUGGUUCGGAACAACGCAGGGAAACUUGCGCUAAUACCGAAUGUGCCCUUACGGGGAAAGAUUUAUCGCCAAAGGAUUAGCCCGCGUCCGAUUAGCUAGUUGGUGAGGUAAUGGCUCACCAAGGCUCCGAUCGGUAGCUGUUCUGAGAGGAAGAUCAGCCACACUGGGACUGAGACACGGCCCAGACUCCUACGGGAGGCAGCAGUUGGGAAUCUUGGACAAUGGGGAAACCCUGAUCCAGCCAUGCCGCGUGAGUGAUGAAGGCCUUCGGGUUGUAAAACUCUUUCGACGGGGACGAUAAUGACGGUACCCGUAGAAGAAGCUCCGGCUAACUUCGCGCCAGCAGCCGC